GAUGAACGCUGGCGGCGUGCCUAAUACAUGCAAGUCGAGCGAACAGACGAGGAGCUUGCUCCUCUGACGUUAGCGGCGGACGGGUGAGUAACACGUGGAUAACCUACCUAUAAGACUGGGAUAACUUCGGGAAACCGGAGCUAAUACCGGAUAAUAUAUUGAACCGCAUGGUUCAAUAGUGAAAGACGGUUUUGCUGUCACUUAUAGAUGGAUCCGCGCCGCAUUAGCUAGUUGGUAAGGUAACGGCUUACCAAGGCAACGAUGCGUAGCCGACCUGAGAGGGAGAUCGGGCAGACUGGAUCUGAGACACGGCCCAGACUCCUGCGGGAGGCAGCAGUAGGGAAUCUUACGCAAUGGGCGAAAGCCUGACAGAGCAACGCCGCGGGAGUGAUGAAGGUCUUCGGAUCGUAAAACUCUGUUAUUAGGGAAGAACAAAUGUGUAAGUAACUAUGCACGUCUUGACGGUACCUAAUCAGAAAGCCACGGCUAACUACGUG
rnacentral:rRNA from 1 species